AAGCAAGGGGUGAUAACUUACAAGAUCGCUGCUCACGCUGCGGACCUUGCGAAACAGCAUCCUUUUGCUUAGGCUUGGGACGACGCGCUGAGCACGGCGAGAUUCCAGUUCCGGUGGAGGGACCAGUUUGCGCUGUCCUUGGACCCCAUGACAGCGUUGGCGUUUCACGACGAGACGCUGCCGAGCGAAGGAGCAAAAGUCGCGCACUUUUGCUCCAUGUGUGGUCCAAAGUUUUGCUCCAUGAAGAUCACGGAGGACGUGAGGAAGUAUGCCGAGGAGCAUGGCUACACCAAUAUGGAGGACGCGAUGAAAGACGGCAUGGCUAAGAUGAGCCAGGAGUUUUCAGCUGCGAAGAAGACUAUCACCGGCGAGCAGUGGGGAGAGUCCGGUGGGGAGAUCUACUUACCAGAGGAAAGCAAGGAACCAGUUGCUUAAGAGCGAUGGCUGAAAGAUCAUCUUGUCUCACAAGGUGAUCUUGCCAAGGAAAGGAGCGACAGGAUUUGGAUCUGGAGAAGAUGACGAUCAAGUUUGAAGGUAGAGUUUGGUUUGGUUUGUAGGGAAUAAGUGGUGGUGCUCUCGCUUGUGUAGCUAGAUUUCUCUUUCGUUUUUGCUCUAUAAGUUUGAAGGUUUGCUAUUUUGCAUUGCU